GGGCUUCGGCCUGGUGGCGAGUGGCGAACGGGUGAGUAAUGCGUCGGAACGUGCCGAGUAAUGGGGGAUAACGCAUCGAAAGGUGUGCUAAUACCGCAUACGCUCUGAGGAGGAAAGCGGGGGACCUUCGGGCCUCGCGUUAUUCGAGCGGCCGACGUCUGAUUAGCUAGUUGGUGGGGUAAAGGCUCACCAAGGCGACGAUCAGUAGCGGGUCUGAGAGGAUGAUCCGCCACACUGGGACUGAGACACGGCCCAGACUCCUACGGGAGGCAGCAGUGGGGAAUUUUGGACAAUGGGCGAAAGCCUGAUCCAGCCAUGCCGCGUGAGUGAAGAAGGCCUUCGGGUUGUAAAGCUCUUUUGUCCGGGAGGAAAUCCCGCAACCUAAUACGUUGCGGGGAUGACAGUACUGGAAGAAUAAGCACCGGCUAACUACGUGCCAGCAGCCGCGGUAAUACGUAGGGUGCAAGCGUUAAUCGGAAUUACUGGGCGUAAAGCGUGCGCAGGCGGUUUGAUAAGUCAGAUGUGAAAUCCCCGGGCUUAACCUGGGAACUGCGUUUGAAACUGUCAGGCUAGAGUACGUCAGAGGGGGGUGGAAUUCCACGUGUAGCAGUGAAAUGCGUAGAGAUGUGGAGGAACACCGAUGGCGA
rnacentral:rRNA from 1 species